AUGAUAUGUGGUGUUUAAUGGCGCAAGGGCCAGGUUUGGCCAAAGAGCGCCAUGACAAGUGGUGAUGUUGACGAUGUAUUAUGGAGAUGUGACUUGGCUGUAAAGUGGCCUAAAAAAUUGUCGCUGUAAAGUGCGUAAAAUCUACGUGCUAUAAAAUUAUGGCGAUGACUAAUGACGAAUACUCUAAACACUAAAAUCCAUCGUAGAAUAAUGAUGCAAAAUAUAAAAUAUAUAAGAUGGUAAAAUUACUUUGAGCACUGCUGCCUCGCCUGAGCCCUUGAACCACAAGGGCCUAGAGGCAUGUGCUAUUCAAAAUAAUGAUCACAGCGACAUCCUCUGAAGAGAGGAAGCGCUACGAACAUGUGGGGCUAAAAACAUGCAAAACAACAUCUUUCAGAAAACUUAAGACUGCGUUAGUGUCAAAUAGAGGUUCCGGGCCGAGUAACAUAACAGGAUGAAGGGGGAUGCGCUGCCGGUAUGCUAAGGGAAAAUGCUUCUUUCUUUCAUGUUCGGCUUCCCGACACUCCAGGAGGACGUGGAGGACGGUCAGCCUCUCACCGCAUCUACCGCAGGUUGGAGGCUCGUUUCCCGUUUGGCGGCCUCGGCAUCUCUGUGAGCUGUGACCGAAACGCUGGCAUUUAAAACAACGCAGGGGAUUAGGAACAUACGGGCGAACUCGGAGCUUGAUAUACCCGGCCUCGAUGGACUCGGGCAGAACACUUGUGCCAAAAUGCAUUGGAUGAGAACAUGAAUAACUGUAAGCCUGUUGCCACAUUUGGGACAUGUAGGGGGUUCGCUUCCCGUCAAAAGAGUAGUGCGACGAGCUGGAUAUCUGUUCGAAAUGUGCGCCAAGAAAGUUCGCCUGAUCUUCCAUGCUGUCGCCUUGAGUAUUCACUAAAGGCAGAGAGUAAGACUGUCGACCCUUUAUUCUAUUAACUCUAUUCCAAACCUUUGUUUCAUCAGUGUAGGAGUUAAUGCCUGAUAUAUACUUUCUCCAACUCUCUCUUCUAGCUUGUCGCCGCGUUCUUCGACCCUGGGAUUUGACCUGCUUGAAAUUGACUAGAUUUUCUGCUGUCGGAGAAUCCCGAAGUAAACCCCAUGCCUUGUUUUGCUUCUUUCGCGCUUUUCGACACUCAUCGUUCCACCAUGGAAGACGGUGUUUUGUGGACAAUCCACUUGUUACAGGGAUACAUUUGGAGGAGAUGUCAAGGAGAAAAGCCGUAAAAUAUUCAACCGCAGCGUCUAUGCUUAAAGCGCACAUGUCGUCCCAGGAUAAACAAGCAAGCUUUUUGAACGUUUCCCAGUCAGCCGAGUGAGUUCUCCAGCGAGGUAAUUGUGGAAGGCAUUCAUUAGCCAUAGGUGUGCUUAGAACUACAGGGAAAUGAUCACUCCCGUAUGGGUUUUUAAUAACUUUCCAUUGAAAGUACGGUAGAAGAGUAGGCGAUGCUAUGCUAAGAUCUAUUGAAGAGUAUGUUUUGUUUGCCAUGUUAUAAUACGUGGGCUCCUUCCCAUUCAAAAGACAUGCGCCUGAAGAAAAAAGGAACUGUUCAAUCAAGCGACCUCUCGCGUCGCAGCGCGAGUCGCCCCAUAGGUUGCUGUGCGCAUUUAAAUCUCCAAGCACAAGAUAUGGUUCAGGCAACUGAUCUAUUAGUGUUUGGAAUUCUUGUUUGUGGAGCUGAAAAUGCGGCGGUAUAUAUAGGGAGCAAAUGGUUAUCAGCUUAUUUAACAGUACAGCUCGAAUGGCCACUGCCUCAAGGGGUGUUUGUAGGUGUAAGUGUUGACAGGCUAUAGAUUUGUCAGCUAUGAUGGCUACGCCACCGGAUGAUGCGAGGGCAUCAUCGCGAUCCUUCCGAAAAAUAACAUACUGACGUAGGAAGUGUUUGUGUUUAGUUUUCAAAUGAGUCUCUUGGACACAUAGCACUUUAGGAGUUAGUUGAUUAAGGAGUUCUUGGAUAUCAUCGAGGUUGCAGAGUAGGCCUCUGAUGUUCCACUGAAUAAUCAGUGUAUCCAUAUUAAAAUAAAUGUUGUGCUAUGUGUCAAAGAGAAUGAACUUGGUUUAGCUUAUGUUGCCCUUUUGGGGCCCUGUAAUUGGAGUUUUAUCUUUUUUGGAGCGAUCGGCAAAAUCGCGCCGCUCCUUAGGCGUCAACUGCGCCUUCUGACUCGGUGUUGUGUCCAUAGCCUCUUGAGAGGCACUGGACAGCCGCUCUUGCGAGCGGUGUGUUUUCCGUGAAAGCCUUGUCUCAGAAGACAAGGCCUUGGAGCCCACCGUCCUGGUGGUUGGUGGGCUAGCCUUGACCUCGGAGCUGGGCUGACUGGUGCCAGCACUAGCGGAGGCCUCAACUGUGGACAAAUUCGGGAGAGGUAGGGCAGCCUUCGCUGCUCCCACCGUGGGGGCGGGUGGCGUUGCCGCACGCUCGCUAUGCGUGGCGCUGGCGUCCGCCAAGUGCCGCUGUGGUACUGCCCCCCGACGUACCACUUCGGCGAAAGAUGUGCUCUGUGCAAAUGUUGGUGAGAUGCGCUGUCUUGCUUCUCUGAAAGUUAUGUUUUCUUUUACCUUUAUUGUAAUUAUUUCUUUUUCUUUCUUCCAGACUGCGCAUGAUCGUGAAUAUGCUGGGUGACCACCAUUACAAUUACUACAACGGGGCUCAGCCUUACAGUCAUCUGCAGAGUGGUCAUUGAUGCCACAUUUUGCACAUGUUAGCCGCCCUCGGCAGCUCUGAGAAGCAUGACCAAACCUCUGGCAUUUAAAACAUCGUCGAGGGUUUGGGAUGUAUGGUCGUACUCUGAGUUUGGUAUAUCCAGUUUCUAAUGUCUCUGGUAGUGUGCUAGAGCCAAAGGUAAUAAUCAGGUGCUUAGUUGGCAGUUCCUUGUUGUCACGUCUAAUUUUUAUUCUUUGUACACUUAUUACGUUUUCAUCCUUCCAUCCUUCCAGGAGUUCUUCAUCGGUCAAGUCCAUCAAGUCUAUGUCAGAGAUUACGCCUUUGGCUGUAUUCAUGGUUCGGUGUGCUGUCACACUGACAGGGAUGUCUCCAAGUUGUACAAGGUUUAUUAGCUUGUCGUGUUGUGCUUUGUCUUUAAUUUCUAGUAACAGGUCCCCACUGGCCAGCUUGGUGAUCUUAUAGCCGCCUCCAAUGGUCUCUGCGAGAUGCUUCGCGACAACGAAUGGUGAAAUAGUUCUUGCUUUCUUGUCGGGUUUGUCACUGUGGACAACAUGAAAUUUAGGGAAAGUCUGAGUGCCUUUUAGAAAAAACUGAAACGUAGCAUCGGUGCGCCCCCUUUUAGAGGGACGAUCGGUUGAAAAAGGGUUGGAAGUUCCCAUGAAAUGUGUUGUGUAUUCAGCGACGAUGCCAGUCACCCACCACCGAGCCCAACAAGGGGACACGGCAGGGUAUGCGGUGAAGCAAACCCUGCCAUGCCAACUGUACAUCGUCGCUAUAACCACAUAUGUUAUAACCAAGGUAGGUCAUAGCACACCAGGUUAACCCUAGCCGCCAGGAAAGUUGGAAGUUAUCAGAAGAAAAAGAGGACAGGAAAGACUAAAAGUGAGAGGGAAAGACGAAGGUGUGCGAAGAGAGAGACAGGAAAAGGCGACUGCCGAUUUCCCCCGGGUGGGUCAGUCCGGGGGUGCCGUCUAUGUGAAGCAGAGGCCAAAGGGGUGUGUUGCCUCCGCCGGGGGGCCUUAAAGGUCCAAACACCCAGCAUCGGCUCAACCCCCAGGAUCCCCUUUUCCCCAGACACGGCUAAGCCGCGCACGGCUACACGCGGGAGGGUCCAACCCCCAUGUGCUCGGGUCCGUGG